rnacentral:lncRNA from 1 species
CACACUAAAAAUCUGUGGGAUCAAGCCACGCACGGGAUUUGGAGACGGCAAAACAGGGAGUCAGCUGCCCAAAAAUUCUGGGAAUUAGAGAGAAUCUGGAGAGGAAGAGCCGACAACUUCAAGAGGAUUGAAAGGAGUUCAGCCGACCAAACGCAACGGGAAGGCAGAACUCAAAAUUUUGACAGGUUUACUUCUUCAAUUAAUCAAUUUGGUGGAGGGCUAGACAAUUUUGAAAGAGUCAAAGGGCAAAAACUAAUUGAGAGGCGUGGAAAACAAGGGAAGAAUCAAUUUACUCGUUUAAUUUAUUUUCUUUCUUCUUCAUGUUUUACACUAUAAUUUGUAUGAAUUUAACGUCUUUAAUUAUGCACU